AUUGAACGCUGGCGGCAGGCCUAACACAUGCAAGUCGAGCGAGUGGCGGACGGGUGAGUAAUGUCUGGGAAACUGCCUGAUGGAGGGGGAUAACUACUGGAAACGGUAGCUAAUACCGCAUACCAUCAGAUGUGCCCAGAUGGGAUUAGCUAGUAGGUGGGGUAAUGGCUCACCUAGGCGACGAUCCCUAGCUGGUCUGAGGGGAUGACCAGCCACACUGGAACUGAGACACGGUCCAGACGCCUACGGGAGGCAGCAGUGGGGAAGAUUGCACAAUGGGCGCAAGCCUGAUGCAGCCAUGCCGCGUGAGUGAUGAAGGCCUUCGGGUUGUAAAGGUCUGUCAUUAGGAAGGCGGUACCUACACAAGAAGCCACGGCUAACUACGUGCCAGCAGCCGCGGUAAUUC
rnacentral:rRNA from 1 species